rnacentral:rRNA from 1 species
GUGGGGAAUAUUGCACAAUGGGGGAAACCCUGAUGCAGCGACGCCGCGUGAGUGAUGAAGUAUUUCGGUACGUAAAACUCUAUCAGCAGGGAAGAUAAUGACGGUACCUGACUAAGAAGCCCCGGCUAACUACGUGCCAGCAGCCGCGGUAAUACGUAGGGGGCAAGCGUUAUCCGGAUUUACUGGGUGUAAAGGGAGUGUAGGUGGUCUGGCAAGUCAGAUGUGAAAGCCCGCGGCUCAACUGCGGGACUGCAUUUGAAACUGUCAGACUGGAGUGCAGGAGAGGAAAGUGGAAUUCCUAGUGUAGCGGUGAAAUGCGUAGAUAUUAGGAAGAACACCAGUGGCGAAGGCGGCUUUCUGGACUGUAACUGACACUGAGGCUCGAAAGCGUGGGGAGCAAACAGG